CCCCUGUGUACUCAUCUGGGAAAAAGACCUAAACCAGACACUACCAGAGAAAACCUGGUUAGCCUCAGUAAACAUAACAAAGGGUUAAACAUUGUGCGCCUCCCACCUAGAAAUAACCCAUAAGAUCUUUUAUCGCUGGUACAUGGUCCCCACGCAGCCACAAUAGACCCAACACUAUCCAGCACUUACUGUAGGUGCAAAAAAGAAACAGGCUCAUUUCUCCAUAUCUGGUGGAAAUGUUCGAAACUCCAACCAUACUGGAAUGAGGUCAUCUCACUAAUACACCAACACACAUCUGUCACAAUACUAAAUACCCUGUCCUCUCUACUCCUAUUCAUGUUUGGCUCCA